CAGCAUCCUUUCCUCCCUCUCGACGUUGCUCGAGUGAGGAACAGAUGCAAAAUUUUCAAAGUAAACAAGAAAACUAUCAGAAACAAUUGUGAAAAAUUCAAAAUCGAUCCAAAAAAUUGAUAAAAUAGCGGAGCAGAAUGCGGGGCGAGGGAACACAACCAUACGCACCGUGGACUCCACUUCCACAUACCUGCCCGUGAUGAGUCCUGCGGGGAUUCGAGUUUCCAAUAACGAAUAAAAAGGGAUUAUCCAUUUCGAGAAAAAUAAUAAAGACUUCAGUAUAAAUGUUUAUGAGAUCGACGCUGAUGGUGAUAAAAUUAUCGGUCCAACGUUUAGAACCAAAUGUAUUCAACCUAACCACAUCAAUAUAUUGGGAAUAAAUAACGUAAACCAAGACCAUAUGCAUUACGCUUACAUUACAAGUGUAAAAAGAUUAUGCUACUCACAGCAUUCCAAGGCAAAAUCAGGAGGAUAUUUUUGUGAUAACUGUCUACAGUUUUUCAUAGUUAAUAAUACUACCCACAACAAACUUGAAUGCGGAAAAGUGGCCUCAUUUUACCCUGAACCAAACACUACAACUUUAUUCAAGGGCUUUCAUAAAAAAUUAUCUCCUCCGGUGGUGAUAUAUGCCGAUAUUGAGGAUGUUCUUGAAAACUAUAGAACAUGCCUUCGUCUUUAACAACAAAAGUGCAGAAGUAUACUGCAUGUGCCGUAUCAUUUUAUAUAGCACAUAAAUAUUAUCCGGAUCUUAACGAAUUGUGGACAUAUGAAGUUUUUUAGGCGCUGACUGCACACAAAAAUGCAAAUCACUAAAGGAAAAAACUACCAGCUUGUUUUACAUGUACUGGUCGACCCCCAAAAACCCGAUAGCUAGCACAAUCCAUGAACGGGAAGGAAAUUGCUGUGCCUGUGAAAAGAAAAUAAACGCUGACGACCUGGACAAAUAUUUUGAUCAAUUUUCUGGAAAAUACAUGGGUCCCAUUCAUAAAAAUUGUAAGCCAAAGUACAAAUUAAGUGAUCCCUUCUUUCCUGUAGUAUUUCAUUACUUAUCUAAAUAUGACAUACAUUUAUUCAUUCCUGAAUUAGAAGGAGACUUAAGCCCUAUACCCUGUAAUAAAGAGCUUUACAUAGCGCUAACGCAGACAAUUAAAAUAUAUGCAUCAAAUAGAUAUAAAAUAAGAUAUAUCGAUUCGAUUAGAUUUUUAAAUUCUAGUUUAGAAAAACUAUCAAGCUACAUGGAGGACAAAGAUUUUAAAAUUCUAAGUACUAAAUUUCAGGGAGAAAAAUUUAAGCAAAUGCGUAGGAAGGGUGUUUUCCCUUACGACUAUUUAGAUAGUUUUGAAAAAUUUGAGGAUACCCAGCUUCCUGACAUUGAUAGUUUUUACUAUUCUCUCAGCGAAGAAAAUUGUAGUAUAGAUGAUUACAAUUUUGCACAAAAGGUUUGGAAAACUUUCAACUGUAAUACUAUAAAAGAUUAUAUAAAACUUUAUUUAGAAAGUGAUGUUUUAAUUUUGACCGAUGUUUUCGAUAAUUUUAGAAAAAUUUGUCAGAAGAUUUAUAAGCUUGACCCUAUUAACUACGUUACAGCACAGUCAAUAUCUUGGGACGCUAUGCUCAAGUAUAUUUAUGUAAAUUUAGAACUUAUUAGUGACGGAGACAUGUACAACUUUUUAAAGAGCGAUAAGGGGUGGGUUAACUCAAUGUACCCAAAGAAUUUCUAUAGCUAAUAAUAAAUAUAUAACUAACUUCGAUUCAAGUAAACCAAAUAACUACCUCAGCUAUAUUGAUGCAAAUAAUUUAUACGGUUGGGCAAUGAGUCCACCCCUCACCGCUUUCAGGAUUUAAAUUUUUAAGUAAUGAUCCAUUAGAAUCUUUCGAUUACAAAAAUAUUUCUGCUGAGGGAAAUGUAGGAUAUAUAUUAGAAGUGGAUUUAGAAUAUCCUACUGAUCGGCAUGACUCACAUAACUACUUGCCAUUUCGUCCAGAAAACAAAGUUCCUCCAGGAGGUAAGCAGAAAAAACUUAUAGCUGAUUUAUCGAAUAAAAGAGAAUACAUUAUCCACUUAAAACAGCUUCAACUUUUUAUACAGCAUGGUUUAAUUGUAAAAAAAAUACAUAGUGUUUUGUCUUUUACACAAUCAUGCUAGUUAAAGCCCUAUAUUGAUUUAAACACUGAUCAAAGAAAACUAGCCGAAAAUGAUUUUGGAAAACAUUUUUUUGAGUUAAUGAAUAAUGCAGUAUACGGCAAAACAAUGGAAAAUGUCGCCAAGCGUAGAAAUAUAGUAUUAGUAAAACAUUAUAAACCAAGACAAAAGUCGCAAGGCUUCAGGCAACGCAUAGCUAGACAUGACUUCCAUAGCGUUGAGAUAUUUGGGACAGAUCUUGCAGCGAUUGAAUCAACACUAUCAAAAAUUAUGUAUGAUAAGCCAAUAUACAUAGGAGUUGCUGUUUUAAAAUUAUCUAAAUGGUUAAUGUAUGUAUUUUAUUAUAAUUUUCUAUUACUUAAAAGCCCUUCUUCGAAAAUAAUUUAUAUGGAUACAGAUUCAUUUAUUUUAUCUUCAGAGGAAGACUUUUACGAAACUAUAAAAGAAAAUCCUGAACGAUUUGAUACCUCAAAUUAUAAACUAGAAAACCAAUUUAAUAUAGUUCAAGCUAAUAAUAGGGAACCUGGCAAAAUGAAGGAUGAACAUGCAGGUAGGGUUAUGAAUUCUUUUGCUGCACUUAAGGCUAAGGCAUACUCUUGUUUAGUUGAUAAGAAAGGAAACGAAAACGAAUGUAUACAAAAAUUAAAGGAGUUAAGAAAUCAGUUAUUAAAAAACUGAAUCAUGAAAAUUAUAUAGAACGUAUAAAAUAAAAAAAAAAAACAUUUUAUGGAUCCCAGCGAGUUAUUCGAAGUAGGUCGCACAUCCUCUAUACUGAAAUUAUGAAUAAAAUAAGUCUUAAUUAUAAGGAUGAUAAGAGAUAUAUUUUACCAGAUAAUUGUAAUACAUUGGAUCAUGGUCAUUAUAACAUUGAACAUAAACGUCAAAAUUAAACCCGUUAUUAAGUAAAUGUUUAUAUGUUUAUAUUAUAAGAAUAAAAAUUUGUAAAUAAAUAGAUACAAAAUUAAACUUGUUA